rnacentral:rRNA from 1 species
CAGCACUUUGCCAACUCGUAAGAGGAAGUAUAAGGUGUGACGCCUGCCCGGUGCUCGAAGGUUAAGAGGAUGCGUCAGUCGCAAGAUGAAGCGUUGAAUUGAAGCCCGAGUAAACGGCGGCCGUAACUAUAACGGUCCUAAGGUAGCGAAAUUCCUUGUCGGUUAAAUACCGACCUGCAUGAAUGGCGUAACGAGAUGGGAGCUGUCUCAACCAGAGAUUCAGUGAAAUUGUAGUGGAGGUGAAAAUUCCUCCUACCCGCGGCAAGACGGAGAGACCCCGUGGACCUUUACUACAACUUAGCACUGCUAAUGGGAAUAUCAUGCGC